rnacentral:misc_RNA from 1 species
AAGUCGUAACAAGGUUUCCGUAGGUGAACCUGCGGAAGGAUCAUUACCGAAAAGAAAACUCGAGGAUGUUGCUGGCACGUUUUGGGUGCACCGUGCACUCCUCGGCUUUUUUGUCCCUUCACACCAUGUGCACCUGUUGUAGGUUCGGUUUACCUGACCUAUGUUUACCAUUUCACUCCGUUGAAUGUCUCACGAAUGUAUAUUUGGUUGCAAUGGCAAUAAAAGAAAAAUGUACAA